rnacentral:rRNA from 1 species
CCCUUAGAUGUCCGGGGCCGCACGCGCGCUACACUGAAGGAAUCAGCGUGGCUUUCUCCCUGACCCGAAAGGGUUGGGAAACCCGUUGAAUCUCCUUCGUGAUAGGGAUUGGGGCUUGAAAUUGUUCCCCAUGAACGAGGAAUUCCCAGUAAGCGCGAGUCAUAAGCUCGCGUUGAUUACGUCCCUGCCCUUUGUACACCCCGCCCGUCGCUACUACCGAUUGAACGGUUUAGUGAGGGCCUCGGAUUGGUCUCGGCCCGCUCUUUACCGGGCGGCGCCGUUGGUCGAGAAGACGCUCGAACUUGAUCGUUUAGAGGAAGUAAAAGUCGUAACA